AACCGCACCUCAAGGUGAAAGAUAAAGAUGACAGGAAGUGCCGGUAGGUUUGGCAUACGCCAUUCUCGACAGCAGGGACUACAGGAAAAGCAGACAA
rnacentral:sRNA from 12 species